UGAGGAAUAUUGGUCAAUGGGCGAGAGCCUGAACCAGCCAAGUAGCGCGCAGGAUGACGGCCCUAUGGGUUGUAAACUGCUUUUAUGUGGGGAUAAAGUGCGUGACGUGUCAUGCAUUGCAGGUACCACAUGAAUAAGGACCGGCUAAUUCCGUGCCAGCAGCCGCGGUAAUACGGAAGGUCCGGGCGUUAUCCGGAUUUAUUGGGUUUAAAGGGAGCGUAGGCUGUCUAUUAAGCGUGUUGUGAAAUUUACCGGCUCAACCGGUGGCUUGCAGCGCGAACUGGUCGACUUGAGUAUGCAGGAAGUAGGCGGAAUUCAUGGUGUAGCGGUGAAAUGCUUAGAUAUCAUGACGAACUCCGAUUGCGCAGGCAGCUUACUGUAGCAUAACUGACGCUGAUGCUCGAAAGUGCGGGUAUCAAACAGG
rnacentral:rRNA from 1 species